CUGCUAUACAUGCAAGUCGAACGCGCAGCGAAAGGUGCUUGCACCUUUCAAGCGAGUGGCGAACGGGUGAGUAACACGUGGAUAACCUGCCUCAAGGCUGGGGAUAACAUUUGGAAACAGAUGCUAAUACCGAAUAAAACUUAGUAUCGCAUGAUACAAAGUUGAAAGGCGCUACGGCGUCACCUAGAGAUGGGUCCGCGGUGCAUUAGUUAGUUGGUGGGGUAAAGGCCUACCAAGACAAUGAUGCAUAGCCGAGUUGAGAGACUGAUCGGCCACAUUGGGACUGAGACACGGCCCAAACUCCUACGGGAGGCUGCAGUAGGGAAUCUUCCACAAUGGGCGAAAGCCUGAUGGAGCAACGCCGCGUGUGUGAUGAAGGCUUUAGGGUCGUAAAGCACUGUUGUAUGGGAAGAAAUGCUAGAAUAGGGAAUGAUUCUAGUUCGACGGUACCAUACCAGAAAGGGACGGCUAAAUACGUGCCAGCAGCCGCGGUAAUACGUAUGUCCCGAGCGUUAUCCGGAUUUAUUGGGCGUAAAGCGAGCGCAGACGGUUGAUUAAGUCUGAUGUGAAAGCCCGGAGCUCAACUCCGGAAUGGCAUUGGAAACUGGUUAACUUGAGUGUUGUAGAGGUAAGUGGAACUCCAUGUGUAGCGGUGGAAUGCGUAGAUAUAUGGAAGAACACCAGUGGCGAAGGCGGCUUACUGGACAACAACUGACGUUGAGGCUCGAAAGUGUGGGUAGCAAACAGGAUUAGAUACCCUGGUAGUCCACACCGUAAACGAUGAAUACUAGGUGUUAGGAGGUUUCCGCCUCUUAGUGCCGAAGCUAACGCAUUAAGUAUUCCGCCUGGGGAGUACGACCGCAAGGUUGAAACUCAAAGGAAUUGACGGGGACCCGCACAAGCGGUGGAGCAUGUGGUUUAAUUCGAAGCAACGCGAAGAACCUUACCAGGUCUUGACAUCCUUUGAAGCUUCUAGAGAUAGAAGUGUUCUCUUCGGAGACAAGUGACAGGUGGUGCAUGGUCGUCGUCAGCUCGUGUCGUGAGAUGUUGGGUUAAGUCCCGCAACGAGCGCAACCCUUAUUGUUAGUUGCCAGCAUUCAGUUGGGCA
rnacentral:rRNA from 1 species